rnacentral:rRNA from 1 species
GCCCUACAAGUAUUAAAGGUAACGCCUGCCCAGUGACACUGUUUAACGGCCGCGGUAUCCUAACCGUGCAAAGGUAGCGUAAUCACUUGUCCUCUAAAUAAGGACCAGUAUGAACGGCUAAAUGAGGGCUGACCUGUCUCCCAGGGCCAAUCAGUGAAACUGAUCUACCAGUACAAAAGCUGGUAUAACAACAUAAGACGAGAAGACCCUGUGGAGCUUUAAAUCCAACCCAAGGCUUAUGCUAACGAACCAGCCAAAUGGAUUAAGAUUUUUAGUUGGGGCGACUUCGGAAUAAAACAAAACUCCCGAGCAUAAAGAAAAUUACUCUAACCGAGGCCUACACGCCAAAGCAAAUAUUGACCCAGUAUUACUGAUCAACGAACCAAGUUACCCCAGGGAUAACAGCGCCAUCUUCUUCAAGAGUCCAUAUCGACAAGAAGGUUUACGACCUCGAUGUUGGAUCAGGACACCCCAAUGGUGCAGCCGCUAUUAAAGGUUCGUUUGUUCAACGAUUAAUAGUCCUACGUGAUCUGAGUUCAGACCGGAG